GCGGCGGACGGGUGAGUAAUGCCUAGGAAUCUGCCUAGUAGUGGGGGAUAACUUGCCGAAAGGUAAGCUAAUACCGCAUACGUCCUACGGGAGAAAGCAGGGGACUCAUCGGAGCCUUGCGCUAUUAGAUGAGCCUAGGUCGGAUUAGUUAGUUGGUGAGGUAAUGGCUCACCAAGACUGCGAUCCGUAACUGGUCUGAGAGGAUGAUCAGUCACACUGGAACUGAGACACGGUCCAGACUCCUACGGGAGGCAGCAGUGGGGAAUAUUGGACAAUGGGGGCAACCCUGAUCCAGCCAUGCCGCGUGUGUGAAGAAGGUCUUAGGAUUGUAAAGCACUUUAAGUUGGGAGGAAGGGCAGUUAACUAAUACUUGACUGUUUUGACGUUACCGACAGAAUAAGCACCGGCUAACUUCGUGCCAGCAGCCGCGGUAAUACGAAGGGUGCAAGCGUUAAUCGGAAUUACUGGGCGUAAAGCGCGCGUAGGUGGUUCGUUAAGUUAGGAGUGAAAGCCCCGG
rnacentral:rRNA from 1 species